CCUACGGGAGGCUGCAGUGGGGAAUAUUGGACAAUGGGGGGAACCCUGAUCCAGCCAUGCCGCGUGUGUGAAGACGGCCCUCGGGUUGUAAAGCACUUUCAGUGAGGAAGAACGCCUGGUGGUUAAUACCCAUCAGGAAAGACAUCACUCACAGAAGAAGCACCGGCUAACUCCGUGCCAGCAGCCGCGGUAAUACGGAGGGUGCGAGCGUUAAUCGGAAUUACUGGGCGUAAAGCGCGCGUAGGUGGCUUGAUAAGCCGGUUGUGAAAGCCCCGGGCUCAACCUGGGAACGGCAUCCGGAACUGUCAAGCUAGAGUGCAGGAGAGGAAGGUAGAAUUCCCGGUGUAGCGGUGAAAUGCGUAGAGAUCGGGAGGAAUACCAGUGGCGAAGGCGGCCUUCUGGACUGACACUGACACUGAGGUGCGAAAGCGUGGGUAGCAAACAGGAUUAGAUACCCCUGUAGUC
rnacentral:rRNA from 1 species